ensembl:lncRNA
UUUUUUUUUUUUUGUUCAUCAGCCAAAACAAAUAAAACUGGUGUCCAAAGCAAUCUUUGUCAAAUCAUAAGACAUCUAUCACCAAGAGCAUGGUGUUCUUUGAUGAAAUCUGUCUAAUAUUUAUGCUCAUAAAUACAGCUUCUGCAAUCUCUCUCCUUUAAGUCAUAGCUGCUUUUUUUUUUUUUUGUAUAAUUAGUUGCUUAUUUAUCCAUUUUCUUCAGCUUUUCUAAGGCCAUGACAAACUAUAGAAGCUAGGUUACAAAUGGAAUUUCAGACUAUACAGAUCUAAAAUAAUUUCUUACAGAAAAUUCACAAGAUAUUUAAGCAGAAAGAUAUAAAUAUACCUUUUUAUGGGUUGUUUGUACUUUUUUUUCCUGGAUUACAAUUUUUGUUUUCAUCUGCAUAAUAUUUUAAAUGUAUCCAUGCAACUCCUUCCAUUUUGUUUCACAAUUAUCUUUUUGGUUUGGAUAUUGUGAAUUGGGUGUUUAGGCAAAAGAAAGCGUCUCUCUUAUGUGGUAGGAAGACUCUUCUCAGCAGUUACUGAAGAUCUCCAUCAGCCAAACAGCAUCCUUCUGUCAUGUCAGUGGAGGUCAGGAGUUGAGGCAAUUCUUGAUAUGAGCAACUUGCUUCUCUAAUAACAUGGCUACAGGCUAAUCUGCAGUUACGAAGGCUUAACAGCCUCAUUUGCUGCUGGGUGGGAACAUCUGAGCUAAAGUUCUCAUUAAAAGAACGUACUGAAAUUUUUGGAAUGGCGGGGGGAAAAGUUGAAAACCUCACAAUUAAAAUAAACUGAAGGUCUUUGCUGUUGGUCCAUUGUGUAAAAGCUCCAAGUUUGCACACAAGAUGCAGUCACUUCAUAGAAAUUGCAGUUACAUUGAUUAAAUACCUCUCUCUCUAGAUAUGUUUUAAGAACCACCUUUGGAAUGCUGAAGGGAUGGCUAAACAAUUGUGGAUCAUGGAAAUUGAGAACUGAAAUAGAUUAAAAGGUUUGGGUUAGUUGUUUAUGUAGUGCUAGUAGGAUAGAAUGAAACUGCAUGAACUGAUCACACUGAAAUAAAUAGAACCACGCUGAGAGACUCAGAGAAGGGAAAGUCCUCCAGUCCUGUAGCUACAAGUGAAUAAAUGGCAGAAGUGUGAAGGGUCACGCGCUGUUGUUGUAUUUCUUUGGAGAUUAAUAAAUGGCGAUAAUUUUGAGGAAGUGUUGUUCUCAGUGUGAUCUGCACGAAGGCACAGUGUGGCUCAGAGAAGCGUUAUUCUGUGAGCUGUGCUGUGCCUGUUGUGCAGAUCAGCGGGAAGGGAGGAGAAUGGAUGACAUCUGCCUUAAACACUGGCAUCCAGAGAGACUGCUCUUCCCUCCUGUGGCACUGUGCUCAUGCUAUGCUCAGUGCAUCCAGUUCUGAAGGAAUCCCUUCCCAUCUCCCUCAGUGCCAGGGAAAAGAAGACAAGUGUUCUCUUAGUUGUGUUAUUGGCUCAGUCCUCUGGCAGCAGACUGUGCACUGCUCUACCUGCUGAUACACACACACUGCAGACACUUCCUCGUGAGAACAAAUUGAAGUUAAAUUGAUUAAACAGCUGUUCUGUGCUGACAACAAGGCAUGUCCUUUUAUCAUGUGGUCUACCUAAUGGAAGGAAAAUUGUAAAUUUAUUGACUAGGAAAUAGAAAAAAUAUUAAUACCACUGGACCAUAUAGUGGCACUUGAUUUUUGGCUCUGUCCAAACAAGGUAAAAUUUUAGGCACUAAGCAAAAUACUGUGAACUUUUUAGGUAUCUACAAUCUAUAUUAGAAUAAGUAGCUUCAUAGUUUUGAUGUACCUAGUGAUCUGUUUUAAAGGCAUUUUUUACAAUUUUACCCUAAAUAAAUAAAUAAUAAUAAUAAUGGUAAUGAUAAAAUAAUAUGAAAAUAUAUAAUAACAAUAUCUUAGAAAAGAGAAGUGGUUCAUAGUGUUCUGUGCACAUCUGGAAGGCCAUUUAGUGUUUAAAUAAAUCUGACAGAAUGGAAUGAGCUUUGGACAGGAAAUACUGACACUGAAUUUAGUUUCUUCACUGGUUCUUUAUGCUCGGACAAGUAUAGAAUUAAUAAUAAUUUAAAUGCAAAAAUGUAAAGAUACAUCCAUAAUCUAAGAAUUUGUCUCUCCCUGAUUUAGCUUUCAUUGUUCUUGACUGUAAUGAGGCAAUUUUUCUUUCUGUUUGCUCAGACUUCUGCCCCAUAUCAGUAGGUUAAUAUCCCAUACUUUGCAGUACUUGGAAGGGACUAUAUACAAAGGCCAAAAUAAUCCUGGAUCAUUUCAGAGAAAAAAUGCAAUAUAAUUUUCUUAACUAGUAGUCCUUGGAAAUAUACAAAAUCCAUUUCUUGUUUAAAUUUUGCUUCCGCAAGUGAUUUCAUAAACCCUCUAGUAUGUCACAGGAAAUUAUUCUUUUUAUCUUUUUCCAAAUAUUUAUUUGUCUGAAUGAUCCUUAACAUCUAAAAAGUGUGCAAAUAUAAAUUAGGGACUUUCCAGCACUGAGUGGGAAUAGCAAUCUCCAAAGUAUAUAAUCAACAAUCUAUAUACUUUUCACUUUUUUAUGCAUCAUGGAGUUAAUGUAUAAUUACUUACUAAUUGGUUACAAUGUUUUUGUAAGGAAUCUUCAUGCUGUCUGAAUUACAGUAGCCUCUUAUCUGGACUUACUUGAUUAAAAAAAAACAUAAUCAAAGUAAUUAAUAUGCCUGCAAGAGUAAUAUGCACAUUUCACCUAGAUAAUUUUUAUGCCGGGUUCUUUGCCAUAGGAUUCCAACAGAGUUACAAAAGACUGGUUAAAAGAAGCUUCCAAGGAGCAAUCUGAAUAAUACUGCUCAAAAUGUUCUGCCUGGGAUAAUUUCUAAAAAACAAGUCACAUUAAAUUCUCCUCUUAUUGUUUGCUGCUCAAUUUGUCAACUGGGGCAAUGUAACUUCAAGAAACUGUAACUCUGAAAGUUACUGUAGAAGGCUGUUUUAUAGUUAACGUUUUGCACAUAUGAGCAGCUCUUGACAAACUGUGUCCCAAUUAUGCAGUUUGCAGUUUAACCAUUAUUUGUGUGUAGAAGCAUCUGUGCGGGCAUUAUUUUGACCAAAUCGACCUAGAAGCAGUAAACAAACUUAUUUGUUGUGCUUGUGCUCUUGCCAC